GUUGCCUUCUAUUGUUACAACAUGGAAGUGCUACCACAGGUCUGAUUUGAAUACAGUCUAAUAUGUACUUUUCCAUUUUAGUACCAUAAGAGACACGAGAGAGAUCUACUAGACCAGAAGAAGGAGAAGGAAGAGACACUACUGCUGGAGAUGGAACAGCUAGAGCGACAGCAGAGCGAAGCCAAGCUCACCAGUGAAAAACACACCGAAAAGAAACGUAAAGAGUUGAGGAAGGCCAAACUGGCACGGAGUCGGUCGCUUAGCAGCCACCCUACUACACCCAAGAUGGCUAAUCCAGACAAAACUCUAAAGGUCAAGGAUUCAGGAAGCUGUCCUGGAAAAGGGAAGAACUUGCUUCCUAUGAAUGCGGACGAGGCUCUGCGGUCGCACCACUUCAGCGUGGCAGCAGCGUCGUCAGUGCUGUCUCCAACUCCCUCGGCUUCCUCCAUGCCCGUCCUUAUCCGCAGCAACACCACCAACACCCUGGUGGACCACCCACACCAACACCAGCACCGCAGCAGCACCCUGGACCACCGCACCACCAACGGGAGCAAGGACACCCAGUCCAGAAAACUCUCAAUACAAAGGAAGUCCAACUCUUUCGGUAUGCAGUCGGGGAGGGAGUAA
rnacentral:lncRNA from 1 species